GAUGAACGCUGGCGGCGUGCCUAAUACAUGCAAGUAGAACGCUGAAGGAGGAGCUUGCUCUUCUGGAUGAGUUGCGAACGGGUGAGUAACGCGUAGGUAACCUGCCUGGUAGCGGGGGAUAACUAUUGGAAACGAUAGCUAAUACCGCAUGACAACAGUUAUUGCAUGAUAACUGUUUAAAAGGGGCAACUGCUCCACUACCAGAUGGACCUGCGUUGUAUUAGCUAGUUGGUGAGGUAACGGCUCACCAAGGCGACGAUACAUAGCCGACCUGAGAGGGGGAUCGGCCACACUGGGACUGAGACACGGCCCAGACUCCUAAGGGAGGCAGCAGUAGGGAAACUUCGGCAAUGGACGGAAGUCUGACCGGGCAACGCCGCGUGAGUGAAGAAGGUUUUCGGAUCGUAAAGCUCUGUUGUAAGAGAAGAAAGAGUGUGAGAGUGGAAAGUUCACACUGUGACGGUAUCUUACCAGAAAGGGACGGCUAACUACGUG
rnacentral:rRNA from 1 species